UGUGUCAUGUGUGUUAGUAUACCAGUCAUGUGAUCGGUGUACUGACAUUUAAUUCGUAAUAUGACGUACUUAACGCACAUUACCUAUUGUCUUAUGUAACCUGCUUGUAUUGACAGUAGCUUAGAGCCAAAUAGAUUCUUAUCUAAAGCGUGACAAGAUUUUAUUUAAAAAUAGGUUAUGAAAAUUUUAUUAGCCUUAAAAUACCUUUUGUAACAACAUUCACUACUGCUAAUUUUAUUUGGCAACUCAGGGUUCAAUAAUGUAUGUUUUAUUAUAAAAAAACCGUCGGUAAAAAAUAUUUUAUCAACAUAUACCUACCAAAAAUGCUGCAAUGAAAGUUACAUUAUUUUAUUACCAGACGGUACAUUUGUAAGAGAAACUUUCUUAACAUCGCUGAAAGAUUCGUUCUCAUAGAUACUUAAACAGAAGCGCGGAGCUUGUGAACAGACUCUUUGUUAGCUAUCUUAUUUACGAAUCCUCUAAUAUCGCUUGAGAGUUCAAGGUAAAAUGAACUUAGUUAAGAUGGAAUAAACUUUAGAUUUAAAUAGAUUUCAAAAUUUAUACGGAGGUUAAGAAAGUGAGAUCUACAUGCUAGUAAUGCAAUACAAAGGAAAGUAACUUAAGGACAAUCCUAGCCUUUAAUACUUUAUUAAAUAGAUAUUGUCUAAAAGUUCAAAAGUAUGUGUACAUUUCAGAUAGGUAAAACAUAAAAUCAUUUUCAUUAAAAUAUUUUUGGAGACAUUUAAAACAAAGAAGUAGCUCAAUUUUAUUGUAAUACUUAUCACAAACAGUUUAAAUAGUUUCUCCAUAUUUGAUAUGCGAGAUAUGCCAUAUUUCAUAUAAACAAAGCAAUCUAUAGUUUUAUGUUCGUACUUAGGAGCAAAUUAAGAGCAAUAAGUUUCAAGUUUAACUACUCGAGAUAAUAAAACGCGUGCGACGUGUAAAUUAUAAAUUGUACCUCUGGCAUAUUCCGGCUCAGCCGUCAACCCCGUAAAUCGCGCCACUCAUUUCAUCCUAAGCGCGGCAUAAAGCGUUUCUUAACCAACAGUGGGAGCCCACGUUCACUGAAUUAUUAAACGGCGCCACGCCAAAGAUCGCGACCUCGCCACGCCGAACUUUUAAAUCUACCCACUUAGAACUUGUGAAAAAUUUCAAAGCCGUAAAUAAGUCGACGAACUCAACGAAGUUAUGAAUUCUGCCCGGCCACUCUCAGCAGACAUACCCCUCUCCGCCAUUAAACUUGAACAAUGAUAAAACAAGUAGAAACGGACAAAAAAUGAGAGUCCUCCGUACAUUUGCCGUAGAACGAAAAUUUUUCAGCUCGCUAGUUGCUUAGGGUUGAAAAUGCUUUAGGUAGGCUGAUAUACUUUAUUUCAUUUGUUUCGCUUUUAUUUUUUAAAUUUAUGCGGACGAAGGGACACUGAUGGGUUUCGUGAAAUAAUUUACUGUUUUUACUGUUCGUGUUGGUUUACGGGUGGGAAUUUAUCCGCGUCGCACUGAAUAUAGAUGGCGUUUUCGGCGCGGAUAUGUUAUGGUUAUGGCACAUAAAAUUGCUAUGAACAAUGCGAGUAAAUAUAAAUAGCCAAAUUUUAUACGGAUUCUUAUUGUUUUGUGUUGUUUUGGCAAAAAUCAAGUUUGUCGAAUGUUUCCGCGCGCGGUGUUUAUGUUCGGCGCCGAUUUCCGCCGCCGUGUCGUUAUGGGCAUGCGUUAUCAGUAUAGGGACGUAAAAAGAGACUUUUAUAUAUCUGAUGCGAAUUGUAUGUACCUACUGACAUACUAUCUUUAGGAGUGAAUCUGUAUGUUCGCAGAUAUAUCUCUAGAUUCUGAGCAAACCAUUCAAACGCUGGAAUAUUACUACUUAUAGUUAGGUACUCAUUUACUAGACUGUUCUUAUACCUUAACGUAGGCAGCAACAGAACAGCAGAAGCAGAGAUGAGAAUGUUCACAAUCAUUUAUACUAUGUCCACAUUUGGUUCACACUCUAUAAUCACAGAAUUUUAAUAUGUCACAACAAACACACAGAAUAUUUUCAAAAACACUAAAACUGACAAGAAAGUAGUUAAAAAGAAGUUUAGUCUAUCGUACAAUUUAUCGUAAAAAGGUUGAAAAGAUUAAAGUAUGAAAAAUGGUACAUUGCCUAUAGUGACAUCACACAUAAAAAGUCAUACAUAUUUCUUAGCUGUAGGUAAGUCAACAUGACGUUCAAAAUUCCCGGUACCUUUAAAAGGUUUUUCACUGAAUUUUUCAGGCCACGGAGUAAAUAUCAACAGUUACCAAAACUUCAACGAUUAGGCAAGAACAAUGUACUCGACUCUUCAAAUGCUACACCUCGACAUCAAGGCCUCAAGCUAGCGACCUGUGAGCUAACACCAAAGCUCACGCUUCUUAUAUUUCGCGUGUCCAGAAAUUCUGUGUAUUUUAACCUGGCCAGGCCAAGCACUGAUCUCAUGGAGUAUGUUGGACUUUGUGAAGAUGAGAGUAUUUAAUAUAUAAGUUUGUAGCUCAA